UACGUAGGGUGCAAGCGUUGUCCGGAAUCAUUGGGCGUAAAGCGCGCGUAGGCGGCCCGAUAAGUCCGCUGUAAAAGUCAACGGCUCAACUGUUGAAAGCCGGUGGAUACUGUCGGGCUAGAGUACGGAAGAGGCAAGUGGAAUUCCUGGUGUAGCGGUGGAAUGCGCAGAUAUCAGGAGGAACACCUAUAGCGAAGGCAGCUUGCUGGGACGUUACUGACGCUAAGGCGCAAAAGCGUGGGGAGCGAACAGG
rnacentral:rRNA from 1 species